rnacentral:lncRNA from 1 species
CACGGCAGCAAGGUGGUUGAAUGAGCAAACAGAGGAAUAGUUAGGAAUGUUGGAGACCAGAAGCCUGAGCAACUGAGAGAGCUAGUACGCUCAUUCAGGAAGGAGGCAGGUGGAGCCUGAAGCCUGCUCCUCUGAGGGCCCCAGGGUGGCCCCUGGCUGGUCCCAAAUGCUCCACACAAUAAAAGUAGAGUGAGAAGCAGGAACCAGCUGCCUUCCUUCAAGAGAGCCCCUCCUGCCCCGCCCUACCUGAGUGUGACCUUCAGGCCAGACCUGACCUUCAUUUCUGGAUGUCUUCCCCUGACCGCCGAAGCCCAGAGACCUGUACAAGAGCCCUAGUGUGUUGCCCAUGUGCCAGACUCUGGAGCUGGAUGUCCUUGAAGGGUGGUGAUGCUGGAGAUUAGUCCCCUGCCACCCCACUGCCCGAGAGCAGACCAACUAAGGUCCUUCUGCCCAGAGAGCCUCCCCACACCGCUCCAUCUGCCUGGUGAGUCACCCACGCUUCACCACCCUCGCCAAGAGAUCCAAGCUGAGCACCUUGUAUGUCUCCCUAUCAUCGCACUUAAUGGAUAUGUUCGGCCUCCCAGUGGACCAGCGUGUCCCUGGGCCCCAGGACUCUUUCUUACUUAUCUCCACGUGGAGCUCCCAGAACAGGUUUGGGCACAGUGGGUGGGAACGAGGGAAGCCUCUGGGUGUCAGCUGAGCCUGAGACACAUGGAAGAUCACGUCCAGAUGCAUGGGUGUGCACGGUAUACACGCACCUUGACCAAAAGAAGUCAUUGUGCCAUUUGCUGAUGUACAAUGGAUGGCCCUAAAACUGAGUUGCUUGAAACGGUGGCAAUGUAUCAUUUCUCUUGAUUCCAGGGGUUGACUGGGCCCUGCCAGGGAGUUCUGGCGCCAUGGCGUGCUGAAGUCACUCAUGGGCGGCACUCAGCUGGGAGCGCAGCUGGGGCUGAAGCCUCUCAUUCUUGGGUCUUCCUCUCCACGGCUGAUCAUCAUUCUGCAUUCUGCCUGAGCGACUUCAUAGCUCGGCUUCUGGCUUUCUGGAGGAGCAUGCCAAGAGGGCAGGUCUUAGUGCACGAGCGCUUCCCAGGUCUUUUUUUUUUUUUUUUUUUUUUUUUUUUCAUAUUUACUAAUGUUGCACUGGCCAAAGGGUAUGGCUCACUAAGGCCAUCAGGGGAACUGUUGGCUGUGUCUCUGUACCCUGGUCCUGAGUACAGUUUAGCUCCCUCCCUGCCUGCCAAAGUUAUUCUAAAGAACUUUGGGUGGGCAUUGAUCUACUCUGGUCCAGGUGGGGCUUGUCUCAGUCAUCAAGGCUGGCCUUGAAGGUGGGAUAGGAGGGAGACAUCCACACCUGAUCUCUCUGUGUUGGACACGACCCUCACCCCUCUGAAGGCUGGGUCUUAGGAAGGGUCCCCUCUCAUGGGACAGCUAUCACCAGAGACGGGGCAGUGGAAGAGGGAAUGGUGUUCUUUGUUUUCUACCAACAAA